rnacentral:rRNA from 1 species
GGACGGUGGCUAUACCGGAUGUGCCGUAAGGUGAAAGGUUACUGCCAGAAGAUGAGCUCGCGUCUGAUUAGCUAGUUGGUAGAGUAAGAGCCUACCAAGGCGACGAUCAGUAGCUGGUCUGAGAGGACGAUCAGCCACACUGGGACUGAGACACGGCCCAGACUCCUACGGGAGGCAGCAGUGGGGAAUUUUCCGCAAUGGGCGAAAGCCUGACGGAGCAAUACCGCGUGAGGGAGGAAGGCUCUUGGGUCGUAAACCUCUUUUCUCAGGGAAGAACACAAUGACGGUACCUGAGGAAUAAGCAUCGGCUAACUCCGUGCCAGCAGCCGCGGUAAUACGGAGGAUGCAAGCGUUAUCCGGAAUGAUUGGGCGUAAAGCGUCCGCAGGUGGGCAAUGUAAGUCUGCUGUUAAAGAGUCUAGCUCAACUAGAUACAAGCAGUGGAAACUACAUAGCUAGAGUACGUUCGGGGCAGAGGGAAUUCCUGGUGUAGCG